rnacentral:misc_RNA from 1 species
CUGAAGGUCUCCGUGCCUGAAAACCAUUGUGAACCCUUCUCCUUAGCUGCCUCGGCGGGCAAUCCCAGGGCGGGAUUCCGGGGCCCCCUUCUGGGGGGCCGUCCGCCGGCGGUGCACCCUUCUAGCUCUGUCUGUGGCGGGCUUCUGAGUGUGAUUGAAAAACAAGUCA